rnacentral:rRNA from 1 species
GAUGAACGCUAGCGGGAGGCCUAACACAUGCAAGCCGAGCGGUAGAAGUCCUUCGGGACUUUGAGAGCGGCGUACGGGUGCGUAACACGUGUGCAACCUACCUUUAUCUGGGGGAUAGUCUUUCGAAAGGAAGAUUAAUACCCCAUAAUAUAUUGAGUGGCAUCAUUUAAUAUUGAAAACUCCGGUGGAUAGAGAUGGGCACGCGCAAGAUUAGAUAGUUGGUGAGGUAACGGCUCACCAAGUCUGUGAUCUUUAGGGGUCCUGAGAGGGAGAUCCCCCACACUGGUACUGAGACACGGACCAGACUCCUACGGGAGGCAGCAGUGAGGAAUAUUGGACAAUGGGUGAAAGCCUGAUCCAGCCAUCCCGCGUGAAGGAUGACGGUCCUAUGGAUUGUAAACUUCUUUUGUACAGGGAUAAACCUACUCUCGUGAGGGUAGCUGAAGGUACUGUACGAAUAAGCACCGGCUAACUCCGUG